UACGUAGGGCGCAAGCGUUGUCCGGAAUUAUUGGGCGUAAAGAGCUCGUAGGCGGUUUGUCGCGUCGGCCGUGAAAACCUGCGGCUCAACUGCAGGCUGGCGGUCGAUACGGGCAGGCUAGAGUUCGGUAGGGGAGACUGGAAUUCCUGGUGUGAGCGGUGAAAUGCGCAGAUAUCAGGAGGAACACCGGUGGCGAAGGCGGGUCUCUGGGCCGAUACUGACGCUGAGGAGCGAAAGCGUGGGGAGCGAACAGG
rnacentral:rRNA from 1 species